CGGAGGGUGCAAGCGUUGCUCGGAAUUAUUGGGCGUAAAGGGUAGGUAGGUGGUCUCAUUUGUCUGGGGUGAAAGCCUUGAGCUUAACUCAAGAAGUGCCCCAGAAACGGUGAGACUGGAGUCCUGGAGAGGGUCGUGGAAUUCCCGGUGUAGCGGUGAAAUGCGUAGAGAUCGGGAGGAACACCAGAGGCGAAGGCGGCGACCUGGACAGGUACUGACACUCAACUACGAAAGCGUGGGGAGCAAACAGGAUUAGAUACCCUGGUAGUCCACGCUGUAAACGAUGGGUACUAGGUUUGGUGGGUCUUGACCCCCGCCGAACCGGCGCUAACGCACUAAGUACCCCGCCUGGGAAGUACGGUCGCAAGACUA
rnacentral:rRNA from 1 species